GAGACCUGUCACCACCUGUAUUAUCCUCCUGCCCCAGCAGCAGCAGCUCGCAGUGGCCCUGGCGGACAGAGGCAGAGUUAGAGACCUGGUGCCAGCCCCAUUGCAGCAAGGCUUCUCGAGGCACUGGAUGGCCAGAGACUGGGGCUGUAUCAGAAAUGCAUCAUAGCGAGCACGUCAUGUCCACAUGGGUUCCAGCCCUGGGCAGACAGGGAGUCUUGACGGCAGGUAUCGAGGUCUGCCCUCGGCAGCACUAACAGUAACCAGCUGUGCAAAUCGGAGUCUCCGGAGGGGCCGUUCUGAGCAUGAGCCUGAGAUCAGGAUAAGAAAAGGUUAGAAGCCUCUCUUUCCUCACAGAAGCGUUUGUGAGGACACUGAGUCCCCUCCCUACGCCGCGGCGUGGCUGCAUCGGGCUGUCCGCGUGGCCAGCGGUGUCUAACAAGCCGGCCACGGAGAAAGGAAGAGCCUGCCCACCUCCCCAGCACCUUCUGGGCCCGGGUUCCAGCCUCCGAGGCGCCCGUUCAGGUCACCUGUGAAGCUCUUAAAAGCGCCAGCACCCAGGCUGCCUCUGGGACGGCUGGGGUAUCUCCGCUGGGCCCGGCGUCAGGGACGGGAGAGCCAAACAUUGCCUGGCAGGGACUGGGCCUGUCUCCAUGCCUCUCCGAACCCCUGCCAGGCACAGUGCACACUUCACCUGCAAGACGAAGCAAAGGGGACGUUUCCUGAACUGUGGGAAUCCAACUCAGGACCUUGCACUUGCCAGGCAGGCACGGUGCCACUGAGCUAAAUCCCCAGCCUUCAU
rnacentral:lncRNA from 1 species